UGUAUGUAUGUAUGUAUGCAUGCAUGCAUGCAUGCAUGCAUGCAUGCAUGCAUGCAUGCAUGCAUGCAUGCAUGCAUGCAUGCAUGCAUGUAUGUAUGUAUG